rnacentral:rRNA from 1 species
AACGUAGGACGCAAGCGUUAUCCGGAAUUACUGGGCGUAAAGCGCGUGUAGGUGGUUUUAUAAGUCACUGUUGAAAGCUCCCGGCUAAACUGGGAGGGGUGCGGUGAGACUGUAGAGCUAGAGUUUGGGAGAGGGGUGCGGAAUUCCGGGUGUAGUGGUGAAAUGCGUAGAGAUCCGGAGGAACACCAGAGGCGAAGGCGGCACCCUGGCCUAAUACUGACACUGAGACGCGAAAGCAUGGGGAGCGAACGGG